AUUGAACGCUGGCGGCAUGCUUUACACAUGCAAGUCGAACGGUAACAGGUUAAGCUGACGAGUGGCGAACGGGUGAGUAAUGCAUCGGAACGUGCCCGGUCGUGGGGGAUAACGCAGCGAAAGCUGCGCUAAUACCGCAUACGAUCUGAGGAUGAAAGCGGGGGACCGUAAGGCCUCGCGCGAUCGGAGCGGCCGAUGUCAGAUUAGGUAGUUGGUGGGGUAAAGGCUCACCAAGCCAACGAUCUGUAGCUGGUCUGAGAGGACGACCAGCCACACUGGGACUGAGACACGGCCCAGACUCCUACGGGAGGCAGCAGUGGGGAAUUUUGGACAAUGGGCGAAAGCCUGAUUCAGCAAUGCCGCGUGCAGGAAGAAGGCCUUCGGGUUGUAAACUGCUUUUGUACGGAGCGAAAAGGUCCUUUCUAAUACAGGGGGCUCAUGACGGUACCGUAAGAAUAAGCACCGGCUAACUACGUGCCAGCCGCCGCCGUAA
rnacentral:rRNA from 1 species